GGAGGGAUCGCAUAGUGGCCGAGUGCGCGCGCUUGGAGAGCGCGUAUGCCGCAAGGCAUCGUGGGUUCAAAUCCCACUCCCUCCGCCA
rnacentral:tRNA from 1 species